rnacentral:rRNA from 1 species
GACGAACGCUGGCGGCGUGCCUAAUACAUGCAAGUAGAACGCUGAAGAGAGGAGCUUGCUCUUCUUGGAUGAGUUGCGAACGGGUGAGUAACGCGUAGGUAACCUGCCUGGUAGCGGGGGAUAACUAUUGGAAACGAUAGCUAAUACCGCAUAAAAUGGAUUAUCGCAUGAUAAUGCAUUGAAAGGUGCAAAUGCAUCACUACCAGAUGGACCUGCGUUGUAUUAGCUAGUUGGUGGGGUAACGGCUCACCAAGGCGACGAUACAUAGCCGACCUGAGAGGGUGAUCGGCCACACUGGGACUGAGACACGGCCCAGACUCCUACGGGAGGCAGCAGUAGGGAAUCUUCGGCAAUGGACGGAAGUCUGACCGAGCAACGCCGCGUGAGUGAAGAAGGUUUUCGGAUCGUAAAGCUCUGUUGUAAGAGAAGAACGAGUGUGAGAGUGGAAAGUUCACACUG